rnacentral:tRNA from 19 species
GCACCCGUAGCUCAGCUGGAUAGAGCGUCGCCCUCCGAAGGCGAAGGCCACACGUUCGAAUCGUGUCGGGUGCGCCA